rnacentral:rRNA from 1 species
UACGGGGGGGGCAAGCGUUGUUCGGAAUUACUGGGCGUAAAGGGCUCGUAGGCGGCCAACUAAGUCAUACGUGAAAUCCCUCGGCUUAACCGGGGAACUGCGUCUGAUACUGGAUGGCUUGAGUUCGGGAGAGGGAUGCGGAAUUCCAGGUGUAGCGGUGAAAUGCGUAGAUAUCGGGAGGAAUACCUAUGGCGAAAGCAGGCUACUGGACCGGCAUUGACGCUGAGGCGCGAAAGCUAGGGGAGCAAACGGG